GAUGAACGCUGGCGGCGCGCCUAACACAUGCAAGUCGAACGGUUAAAGCACCUUUUAGGUGUGUAUAAAGUGGCGAACGGCUGAGUAACACGUGGGCAACCUGCCCUCCUCUUGGGGAUAGCCUCGGGAAACCGAGGAUAAUACCCGAUACUUCAAUGUGGCCGCAUGACGACAUUGAGAAAGCUUUUGCGGAGAAGGAUGGGCCCGCGGCCUGUUAGCUUGUUGGUGGGGUAGAGGCCUACCAAGGCAAUGAUGGGUAGCUGGGUUGAGAGACCGACCAGCCAGAUUGGGACUGAGACACGGCCCAGACUCCUACGGGAGGCAGCAGUGGGGAAUCUUGCACAAUGGGCGAAAGCCUGAUGCAGCGACGCCGCGUGCGGGAAGAAGGCCUUUCGGGUUGUAAACGCUUUCAGCAGGGACGAGGCGAAAGUGACGGUACCUGCAGAAGAAGCCCCGCUAAUC
rnacentral:rRNA from 2 species